UCGUUUUCUUCUUGAGAAGGCGAAUCACUCUGGGAUUAAGCAGCUGCCACACUUGCCAGAAACAGUGCAAAAAUGCUCCCUGAGCCUCAAACCAAACACAAGCAGCCAACCUGCAUUUUUAAAUGCAGUUCUACCCAGCUCACUUAUAAAGCAAAGGAUAACAGCUUCUCUUCAUAGAUAAGGCUUCCAGCUCAGAGGUGAAAUUCAGCUGGUUCUAACAGGCUCAAUCGAACUGGUACCAGCAGCUGUGGGAUGCUCUGCCCACCCCACUCGGACGUCAUGAUGUCACUUUUUCGCAACGAUUUUAAGCCUCUGCGCACGCACAGAAGGCUUUGCGCAUCGUGGAUGACACACACAUUUCUGAACUGGUAGGGAAGUCUUGGGACCAGAAGUGGGCGGCACAUGAAUUAACAACCGGUUUGCCCAGCACCAAAAAUGUCAAGAGGUGAUCCUGCACUCAAGUCCAGUUUUAAGAGGCCUAUUUAUGGUUGGGCUACAACUUCCUGGAGCACACAUGGCUAAAGUUCCCAAUGAUAGGACUUGCAAUUUAACUCAUCUGAUGAUGUUUCCCUGAGACAAAGUACUCUGCAUUAUCCUUAUGGUCUGAAGCACCAGAAAAAUGCUCACGUCUUAUUUAAACAUUUACAUAAAUGGUAUUUCAUAUACAUAGAAGAUCGAAAAGGACAGACACUGUCUCCAGAAACGUAAUUUUCAAACAUCACGGGAAAUCAUUUAGUACAAGUUCAACAUCUUUAAAAUCCAAUUUGUCUAGAACAAUAACGAUACCCGGCAACAAAAUAUUGACAGAAUUAUGCAGGCUGGCAAAACUUCCAAGAGCCUUUUGCAAGUGCGGCACAUCCCUUGUUCAAUGUUUCAAAAGGUAGUCCUCGACUUACGGCUACAAUUGAGCCCAAAAAGUCUGUUGCUAAGUGAGACAGUUGUUAAGUGAAUUUUGCCUCAUUUUACGACCUUUCUUACCACAGUUGUUAAGUGAAUCUCUGCAGUUGUUAAGUUACCAACAAGGUUGUUAAGUGAAUCUGGCUUCCCCAUUGACUUCGCUUGUCAAAAGGUGGCAAAAGGUGAUCACAUGACCCUGGGAAAUUGCAACUGUCGUAAAUAUGAGUCUGCUGCCAAGUGUCUGAAUUUUGAUCAUGUGACCUUGGGGAUGCUGAGUGGUGCAGUGGCCUAGAGGGGGAGCUCUCGCCUCACAAUUAAGAGGCUGUGAGUUCAAUCUUAGGUAGAGGUAGAUAUUUCUCUCUCUCUGGGCACACUGAGAAUAUAUCUGCUGAAUAAAACUCCGCAUUGGUGACAGGAAGGGCAUCUGGCCAGUAAACACUCAUCUUCAUUCAGUUGCCCAGACUGCAAGGGAUUAUGGGGUCAUUAAAAGAGGAUAAUAAGUAUCAGAUUAAAAAAUAUCAAUUAGUUUUUGAGUGAAGUUAGGAAUUGCUAUGUAUUAGAAUUUAAGAAAGAAGGGAAUUGAUAGUGUGAUGGUGUGAAAUGGAAUAUGUUUUAUGUUAUAUUUUAGAUUAUGUUUGUUAGUUACAAUACCCUGU